rnacentral:lncRNA from 1 species
AAUACUAAACAAACCUUUAUGCGAGAAAAAAACAUAUGUUUUCUUAAAGUACAUAAUAAAGAAAUUAAUAACUAAAAACUAAUAAAUAUGUGUUUAUUGUAAUAGAAUUCAUAUAGCUUAGUAACUGUAAAACCUUCUUAAAAACAAACAGUAAAACUGUAAUAAAUUGAUACCUCGAUUUAAUGAAGCGUUUUGUUAAUCUAGACUUAGGACCAAUGUUAUUGGAGCAAUUAUCAUAAAUUAUUAAUGAUGAAUGUGGAACAAAUUAUAAAGUUAGUACAAACACAUAAUGUAACAUCUAGCCAAAAGUUGUAGGUUACAACUCAUGAAGCAUUAAAUUUAAGAUGUAAUUGGCUAGUAUUUGACUACACGUAUAGUCUUUU